rnacentral:rRNA from 1 species
UGGGGGAUAGCCCGCCGAAAGGCGGAUUAAUACCGCAUAAGCUAGUUGGCUCGGCAUCGGGUUAUUAGUAAAGAUUUAUUGGUUAUAGAUGGGGUUGCGGGUCAUUAGCUAGUUGGUAAGGUAACGGCUUACCAAGGCGACGAUGACUAGGGGAGCUGAGAGGCUGGUCCCCCACACGGGCACUGAGAUACGGGCCCGACUCCUACGGGAGGCAGCAGUAGGGAAUAUUGGGCAAUGGGCGAGAGCCUGACCCAGCCAUGCCGCGUGCAGGAAGAAGGCUUUCUGAGUCGUAAACUGCUUUUGACAGGGAAGAAUAAGGACUACGUGUAGUCUGAUGAC